CGCACGCCUCUCUCUCUCCCCUUUCCCCGCCUGGAUCGGGGCAGAGGGCCUCGACCCCUUCGCCACGCCGCCGCCGAGCCUGCGGCCACUACGCCGGAGCCCGCCCUCGCCGCGACGCCCUCUCGCCCCUACGCCGCCCGUCCACACCGCCCCAUCCCCUCCGCCCCCGAUCUGGAACUCGGGCUCGGCCCUGACGCCACCGCCGCGCGGAGCUCGCCGUCGUCCGCCCCGUCCUCUCCCUCGCCGGAGCCGCCCAUCGUCACCGUCGUCGUCUACCUCGUCCUCCUCCUCGAGCACACUGCCGUUCCCCUACACCGCAAACCCCGUGACGAUGCUGAUGCCCCUGUGGUCGACUACGUCACUGACGACCCCUCCUUGUCUGAGCAACCAGAUGCUGGAGUCCAGGAGCUAGAGAUCCCGAGGAUGAUUCUACAUGGAGUUCGGCUUCGAGGAGUAGUUAGGAGGUCCCAGGCAGGAGGCCUUGCCUUUUCGAUCGUUGCUAC
rnacentral:rRNA from 1 species